UGCCCUCAUUUAUACUUGUGU
rnacentral:miRNA from 1 species